CUGUGCAAUGCGCGAAGCGCGACGCGGGAAACCUGAGUGCCUUGACAAUGUCAAGGCUUUUCUUAAGCCUAAAAAGCUUAAGGAAUAAGAGCUGGGCAAGACGGGUGCCAGCCGCCGCGGUAACACCCGCAGCUCGAGUGGUGGUCACUUUUAUUGAGCCUAAAGCGUUUGUAGCCGGUUUUGCAAAUCUUCAGAUAAAUUCCUCUGCUUAACAGAUGAUCUUCUGAAGAGACUGCGAGACUUGGGACCGGGUGAGGUUGAAGGUACUUCCGGGGUAGGGGUAAAAUCCUGUAAUCCUGGAAGGACGACCGGUGGCGAAGGCGUUCAACUAGAACGGAUCCGACGGUGAGGAACGAGGGCUAGGGUAGCAAACCGGAUUAGAUACCCGGGUAGUCCUAGCUGUAAACACUGCCCACUUGGUGUUGCCCCUCCGAUGAGGGGAGGCAGUGCCGGAGCGAAGGUGUUAAGUGGGCCGCUUGGGGAGUAUGGUCGCAAGGCUGAAACUUAAAGGAAUUGGCGGGGGAGCAC
rnacentral:rRNA from 1 species